rnacentral:rRNA from 1 species
UACGUAGGGCGCAAGCGUUGUCCGGAAUUAUUGGGCGUAAAGAGCUCGUAGGCGGCUUGUCGCGUCGGUUGUGAAAGCCCGGGGCUUAACUCCGGGUCUGCAGUCGAUACGGGCAGGCUAGAGUGUGGUAGGGGAGAUCGGAAUUCCUGGUGUAGCGGUGAAAUGCGCAGAUAUCAGGAGGAACACCGGUGGCGAAGGCGGAUCUCUGGGCCAUUACUGACGCUGAGGAGCGAAAGCGUGGGUAGCAAACAGG